ACAAGCAGCGGAGCAUGUGGUUUAAUUCGAAGCAACGCGAAGAACCUUACCAGGUCUUGACAUCCCGAUGCUAUUUCUAGAGAUAGAAAGUUACUUCGGUACAUCGGUGACAGGUGGUGCAUGGUUGUCGUCAGCUCGUGUCGUGAGAUGUUGGGUUAAGUCCCGCAACGAGCGCAACCCCUAUUGUUAGUUGCCAUCAUUCAGUUGGGCACUCUAGCGAGACUGCCGGUAAUAAACCGGAGGAAGGUGGGGAUGACGUCAAAUCAUCAUGCCCCUUAUGACCUGGGCUACACACGUGCUACAAUGGUUGGUACAACGAGUUGCGAGUCGGUGACGGCGAGCUAAUCUCUUAAAGCCAAUCUCAGUUCGGAUUGUAGGCUGCAACUCGCCUACAUGAAGUCGGAAUCGCUAGUAAUCGCGGAUCAGCACGCCGCGGUGAAUACGUUCCCGGGCCUU
rnacentral:rRNA from 1 species